rnacentral:rRNA from 1 species
UUUUCCUACGGGGGGCAGCAGUCGGGAAUAUUGCACAAUGGAGGAAACUCUGAUGCAGUGACGCCGCGUGCAGGAAGAAGGUUUUCGGAUUGUAAACUGCUUUAGAUGGGGAAGAAAAAAGACUGUACCCAUAGAAUAAGCUCCGGCUAACUACGUGCCAGCAGCCGCGGUAAUACGUAGGGAGCAAGCGUUAUCCGGAUUUAUUGGGUGUAAAGGGCGCGUAGGCGGUUUAAUAAGUCAGUGGUGAAAACUGAGGGCUCAACCCUCAGCCUGCCACUGAUACUGUUAGACUUGAGUAUGGAAGA